GACGAACGCUGGCGGCGUGCUUAACACAUGCAAGUCGAGCGGUAAGGCCCUUUCGGGGGUACACGAGCGGCGAACGGGUGAGUAACACGUGGGUGACCUGCCUUUAGCUCUGGGAUAAGCCUGGGAAACCGGGUCUAAUACCGGAUAUGACUCCGCGGCGCAUGUUGUGGGGUGGAAAGCCUUGUGCGGCUGGAGAUGGGCCCGCGGCCUAUCAGCUUGUUGGUGGGGUGAUGGCCUACCAAGGCGACGACGGGUAGCCGGCCUGAGAGGGCGACCGGCCACACUGGGACUGAGACACGGCCCAGACUCCUACGGGAGGCAGCAGUGGGAAUCUUGCGCAAUGGGCGAAAGCCUGACGCAGCGACGCCGCGUGA
rnacentral:rRNA from 1 species